UACGUAGGGUGCGAGCGUUAAUCGGAAUUACUGGGCGUAAAGAGCUCGUAGGCGGUCUGUCGCGUCUGCUGUGAAAACUCAGGGCUUAACCCUGAGCUUGCAAUGGGUACGGGCAGACUAGAGUGCGGUAGGGGAGACUGGAAUUCCCGGUGUAGCGGUGAAAUGCGCAGAUAUCGGGAGGAACACCAGUGGCGAAGGCGGCGCUCUGGGCCGGAACUGACGCUGAGGAGCGAAAGCGUGGGUAGCAAACAGG
rnacentral:rRNA from 1 species